CACUUGGCACUCGGCAGUUUCACACUUUGCCGACCGAUCAGGGAGAUCCAAUGAUACCAAAUGUGCCAGAUUCGAAUCUCAACAGCAUGUGGUGGCAUAUAGAGCUACAAAAAGCCAAGAAAGAAUAUUUCUUUAUUCUUCCUUAGGACAGUUAGAGAUCUAAGGAUAAGGAAGAAUGAAACAUCCUGAUUUAUAUCAUACAAUUAGGUCCUUUGAAUGUUCUAAAGACACUCUUGUGCUAUCUGGGAAAAUAGUAUACAUAUAUGGACACUGGAGCGGAAUGUAAAUGACUUACAAAAAUUUUAUCUUUAGAAUGCAUGCAAGAUAUUAAUGAGUUUAUAUUUUUAUCGCAUGUUCUUUUUAAAUUAAAGAAACAGGUUUAUGAUAACGUAUUGACAAAAUAAUCUUUAUUGUCAUAAUAUGAAAUAUAUAAUUAUAUAACAUUAUAUAAUUUA